AUUGAACGCUGGCGGCAGGCCUAACACAUGCAAGUCGAGCGGACGAAGGGAGCUUGCUCCUGGAUUCAGCGGCGGACGGGUGAGUAAUGCCUAGGAAUCUGCCUGGUAGUGGGGGAUAACGUCCGGAAACGGGAGCUAAUACCGCAUACGUCCUGAGGGAGAAAGUGGGGGAUCUUCGGACCUCACGCUAUCAGAUGAGCCUAGGUCGGAUUAGCUAGUUGGUGGGGUAAAGGCCUACCAAGGCGACGAUCCGUAACUGGUCUGAGAGGAUGAUCAGUCACACUGGAACUGAGACACGGUCCAGACUCCUACGGGAGGCAGCAGUGGGGAAUAUUGGACAAUGGGCGAAAGCCUGAUCCAGCCAUGCCGCGUGUGUGAAGAAGGUCUUCGGAUUGUAAAGCACUUUAAGUUGGGAGGAAGGGCAGUAAGUUAAUACCUUGCUGUUUUGACGUUACCAACAGAAUAAGCACCGGCUAACUUCGUG
rnacentral:rRNA from 1 species